GAAAGUAGGACAAGGGCAGACGGUGGAUGCCUAGGCUCUCGGAGGCGAAGAAGGACGUGAUAAGCUGCGAAAAGCGCGGGGGAUGUGCAAAUAACAAUUGAUCCCGCGAUAUCCGAAUGGGGCAACCCGGCAGGUUGAAGGCCUGUCAUCCCUUUAGAGGGAGGCGAACGUGGGGAACUGAAACAUCUAAGUACCCAUAGGAGAAGAAAACAAGAAAGUGAUUCCGUAAGUAGUGGCGAGCGAAAGCGGAACAGCCCAAACCGGCGUUGUUUAGGCAAUGCCGGGGUUGUAGGACUGAGAAGUAGGAAGAAAGAAUGGAAAUAGAACGUUUUGGAAAGAACGGCCGUAGAGAGUGACAGCCUCGUAUAUGACUCCAUUUCGAACCUUAUCAGUAUCCUGAGUAGCGCGGAGCACGAGAAAUUCUGCGUGAACCAGCGGGGCCCAUCCCGCAAGGCUAAAUACUCCCGAGAGACCGAUAGCGAACCAGUACCGUGAGGGAAAGGUGAAAAGAACCUCGAACAGAGGAGUGAAAAAGACCCUGAACCCGUCUGCCUACAAGCGGUCGGAGCUUCUUUAAAAGGAGUGACGGCGUGCCUUUUGCAUAAUGAACCUACGAGUUACUUUCCCCGGCAAGGUUAAGAAGGAUUACCUUCGGAGCCGAAGCGAAAGCGAGUCUUAACAGGGCGCCAUGAAGUCGGGGGGAGUAGACGCGAAACCAAGUGAUCUACCCUUGGCCAGGCUGAAGGUUGGGUAACACCACCUGGAGGGCCGUAUGGAUAUACGUUGAAAAGUGUUCCAAUGAGCUGAGGGUAGGGGUGAAAGGCUAAUCAAACUUGGAGAUAGCUCGUACUCCCCGAAAUGCAUUUAGGUGCAGCCUCGGGUAUUUUACUUGUAUGAGGUAGAGCGACUGAUUGGAUGCGAGGGUUUCACCGCCUAUCAAGUCCAGAUAAACUCCGAAUGCGUACAAGUUAAACCCGGGAGUGAGGGUGUGGGUGCUAAGGUCCACAUCCGAGAGGAGAAGAAUCCAGACCAUCGGCUAAGGUCCCGAAAUAACGGUUAAGUUGCAUUAACGAAGUCAGAUUGCAAAGACAGCUAGGAUGUUGGCUUGGAAGCAGCCAUUCAUUUAAAGAGUGCGUAACAGCUCACUAGUCGAGGAAUUUGGCGUGGAUAAUACUCGGGCAUAAACCGUUUACCGAAGCUGUGGAACCACUGAUGUGGUUGGUAGGGGAGCAUUCCAUUACGGCUUAGAAGAUGAAGGGCGACCUUCGUUGGAGCGGAUGGAAAAGCAAAUGUAGGUAUAAGUAACGAUAAGGGAGGCGAGAAACCUCCCCGCCGAAAGACUAAGGAUUCCUGAUCAACGCUAAUCGGAUCAGGGUAAGUCGGGCCCUAAGGUGAAGCCGAACGGCGCAACCGAUGGAAGAAUGGGUUAAUAUUCCCAUACUACUUUAAAGAGCGAUGUGGAGACGGAGAAGUGACAGUCCUGCCGGCUGACGGAAUAGCCGGUUAAAGGGUGUAGACGUUGAUUACCAUAGGCAAAUCCGUGGUAAGAGUCGAACCUUACAGUAUGCCGCGUACUUGUACAAGGCAAAAUGGACGUAAACAGGCUCCCGAGAAAAUCCGCUAAGCAUAUCUUUAAAGUACCCGUACCGUAAACGGACACACGUAGUUGGGUUGAGUAUACUAAGGCGCUCGAGAGAUUCGCGGUUAAGGAACUAGGCAAAUUGACCCUGUAACUUCGGGAAAAAGGGUCCCUAUAGAGAUGUAGGGCGCAGAGAAUAGGCCCAGGCGACUGUUUAACAAAAACACAUGGCUAUGCAAAAUAGAAAUAUGAAGUAUAUAGCCUGACACCUGCCCGGUGCUGGAAGGUUAAGAGGAGAACUUAUCUGCAAAGAGAAGGUUUGAAUUGAAGCCCCAGUAAACGGCGGCCGUAACUAUAACGGUCCUAAGGUAGCGAAAUUCCUUGUCGGGUAAGUUCCGACCUGCACGAAUGGUGUAACGAUCUGGGCACUGUCUCAACCGCGAUCUCGGUGAAAUUGUAGUAUCGGUGAAGAUGCCGAUUACCCGCAACGGGACGAAAAGACCCCGUGAACCUUUACUAUAGCUUUACAUUGAUUUUGGGUAAUUAAUGUGUAGGAUAGGCCGGAGGCAAUGAAGCAGGUACGCUAGUAUUUGUGGAGCCGACGUUGAAAUACGGCCCUUUGAUUAUUUGAAAUCUAACUCGUGGAAUACGAGGACACUGUAUGGUGGGUAGUUUGACUGGGGUGGUCGCCUCCAAAAGUGUAACGGAGGCUUCUAAAGGUACCCUCAGGCCGAUUGGUAACCGGUCGUAGAGUGUAAUGGCACAAGGGUGCUUGACUGAGAGAACGACAAUUCGACCAGGUAGGAAACUAGAGCAUAGUGAUCCGGUGGUUCCGUAUGGAAGGGCCAUCGCUCAAAGGAUAAAAGGUACUCCGGGGAUAACAGGCUGAUCGCUCCCAAGAGCUCAUAUCGACGGAGCGGUUUGGCACCUCGAUGUCGGCUCGUCACAUCCUGGGGCUGGAGAAGGUCCCAAGGGUUGGGCUGUUCGCCCAUUAAAGUGGCACGCGAGCUGGGUUCAGAACGUCGUGAGACAGUUCGGUCUCUAUCUGUUGUGGGCGCAGGAGAUUUGCGAGGGACUGACACUAGUACGAGAGGACCGUGUUGGACAGACCACUGGUAAACCGGUUGUUCCGCCAGGAGCACCGCCGGGUAUCUAAGUCUGGAAGGGAUAAGUGCUGAAAGCAUCUAAGUACGAAGCCCACCUCAAGAUGAGAUCUCCCUAAAGGGUGGUUAUAGACUAUGACCUAGAUAGGCUACAGGUGUAAAGGCAGUAAUGUCACAGCCGAGUAGUACUAAUUGCCCGAGACUUUCUCUUA
rnacentral:rRNA from 1 species